AGUUCAAGAGUACGUGAAACCGUUUAGGGGUAAACCUGAGAAACCCGAAAGGUCGAAGGAAGAAAUUCAUUCGCGUUUCGACGUAGGCGACGAAUCGUCGUGCGACGGAAUCACGCGCGUUCGCGCGCGUGUUUUCGCGCCUUCGAUUCGUUCGAACCGGCGACGAACGUGUGCACUUUUCUUCUGGUAGGACGUCGCGAUUCGUCGAGUGUCGAUCUACGGUUCGCGGCGGAGCCCGUUCGUACGUUUUCGGACGGUUAACGGACGGACCCGCGACAUCCCGAUCGACUCGCUCGACGAUAUACGAAAGGUUGGAGGCCGCUCGUUUCAGGAGCGUUCGACUCGCGGCAAGCGCGUCGGAUGCGUCGACGAUCGGACCCGGUGCCGAUUUCGACCUCCGACGACUGUUAGCCGCGAAGUUCUCGAACAGACCUUCUCUCUCACGAGAUGCGAAACCGAUCUGCGACGCUAUAGCUUUGGGUACUUUCAGGACCCGUCUUGAA
rnacentral:rRNA from 1 species